GAGAGAGGGCCCAGCCGCGGCCCCCGCGUCCCUCCCGGGAGCCGGGUUUCCGCCCCUGAGACCUCGGGCUGUGUGCCCAGGUCAGUCCAAAGCUGCUGUUUCUUCCGGGGUCGUGGCCCCCACGCCCCUGUCGCCCGCACCCAGGGCGAUUCUGCGUUCCAUGGGACUUUUGGCUCUAGCUGGAGACAUUUCUGGAGGUCACAGAAUGCAGGACAAGAAAAGUAUCAUUCAAGCUCAGAUUUGUGUUGAAACCAGCCUCAGGAUUCACCUGUCCUCACUGAUGUUUCUGUAAGAUCAGAUGUCAUUAUUGUCCAGUGCAGUGGUGCUAUCUCAGCUCAUUUCAACCUCCGCCUCUCAGGUUCAAGCAAGUCUCCUGCCUCAGCCUCCCAAGUAGCUGGGAUUACAGAACACCGUCGUGAGAGUGCUUUGGGAAGAAGGGAGGCUCAUCCUGCCUCCCGGCUGCCCUUUGGCUGUCAGAGUCACAGGAUGGCGGCCCUUGUCCUACACGCCGCCGGUGCUGCAUCUUCCCCAUUCCCAGCCUCUCAGCAAAAAGGACACACUGAAGGCGGAGGCCUGGUUAAUGAGCUCCUGAGAAGCUGGCUGCAGGGGUAGGUGACCUUCAAGGAUGUGGCUGUGGAGUUCACCCAGGAAGAUUGGGCGUUGCUGGACCCUGCCCAAAAGACACUAUAUAGGAACGUGAUGCUGGAGGAUUCCUGGAACCUGUCCUCCUCACUGGGGAACCAAGUUGAUAGACGUCUGAUCUCCCAGUUGGAGCAAGAAGAUAAGUUGAUGACAGGAGAGAGGAAUUGUCCCAGGUACCCAACCAGAUGUGGAGACUCCACUUAAAGCUAGCGGGCUAACUUCAAAGCUACGUGUUUUUCGAAAAGAACAAUCUAGAAAUAUGAAAAUGGAGACAAAUCAUCUUGGAGCAAAACUCAGCAAAUGUAAUCAGUGUUUUAAAGUCCUCAGCUCAAAAUCUUCCCUUACGUGGCACAAGAGGAUUCAUACUGGAGAAAAACCCUAUGACUGCAGUGAGUGUGGGAAAUCCCACAUCUAACAGGAUUAGAUGUUACCUUACUGUUCAUAAGAGAAUCCACAAUGGGGAGAAGCCCUAUGAAUGCAGUGACUGUGGGAAAGCCUUCAUUAAUUCCUCAUCCCUUAGUGUGCCCUGGAGAAUUCACAAUGGAGAAAAACCCUACAAAUGUAACCAUUGUCUUCAUGAGUUCCGCACUCUGUCUUCACAAGCCACAAGAGAGCUCAUACGGGGGAGAAUCAUUAUGUAUAUAAUCAGUGUGGAAAGGCUUUCUGCACGAGGUCGUCUCUUACUUUGCACAAUAGAAUUCACACAGGGGAGAAACCUUAUGAAUGCCACGAUUGUGGGAAGACCUUCACGAGGAGCACAAAUCUGACAACACUUAAGAACUCAUACUGGAGAAAAACCCUACAAAUGUAAUGUGUGUGGAACAUCUUUCACCCGUAGAUUUUCUCUUACAGUACGCAGGAGAGAAACCCUAUAAAUGCAAUUACUGUGGAAAAGCCGUUAACGUUCUCUCAUUGGUUAAGAAACACACGAGAACGCAUGCUGGAGAAAAGCCCCAUGAAUGUAAUCACUGUGGGAAAUUCUUUGCUACUAACUAUAACCUUUCUUUGCGUAAGAGAAUACAUAAUAGACAAUUGUGAAUUCAAAAA